rnacentral:lncRNA from 1 species
CUCAGUGCCAGGCACUCAUCUAAAGUGCUUUGGAUUUAUUAACGUAUUUAUUCUUCCUAACAACAGAUGGAAAGCUUAACAAACGAGGAAGCAGAAACACUGAGUGUUUAAGUAACUUUCGGAUCAUAUAACCAAUACUUAAACCCAAACCAUCUUGUUCUUGGAGUCCAUGGGCUUAACCAUCAGACUAUACAGCUUCUAGAUCGGUGUCUAGAGUUGGACACAUGCUUCCACUUCCCACAGAUGGCGAUGGAGAAGGAGACUAAAGAAGAACAAAGAUGCUAGCUAGGAAAGAAGUUCACGCAGCCUUCAAGACGUAAACCGACAGCUGUGGUUUGUUCUGCAACUGCAGAACUGCCUGGAGACCAGAGCUGAAAAUCACCGUGGAAAUAAUCUGGUGUUUCAGUGGAGGACCAGCAGCAGCUGAGCGGACCCAGCCUGAGGGCUGGUGCAUUGCCCAACACCAGUGGGUGCCAUGCUCAGAGAUCACCAUGCACUGGUGUCUCUUGGAGUUAUGCAACAUGGUGGUGCUGUUCACCUCAUGGAUUACAGGCAAAGGAGGCCAGACUUGCCUACUUUGGACACUUCAUAUGAAUGAAAUGACAUAACGUGGCCUUUU